GUCAACGCGGCGACUCGAGUGGCUGGGGGUGGCGCGGCUGCUCGAUGUAGAGCGGCGGGGGCGGCUGGAUCGGCGGUGGCAGCUGGAGCUUGCAGAACGGCGGCGGCGGAGGCUGGAGCUUGUAGAUCGGCGGGCCAACCUGAGCAACAGCUCCAAGGAGGACGCCACCAGGUGCCUGGUAUGGCUGGGGGACCUCAUCGACGCCAAGAAGUUGGCAGGCAGUGCUGCUGGCAGCGACACACUGCUCCUCCCUGUCGUUGGCGUGGUUACUGCAGGUACCACACAAAUUAACCUUCCCCAUAGUAAUAUUCGAUCAUUGUGAGUUUGCUGGAAUUUGUACCACAAACAUUGUCUGAUAACAUCAAUCUGAAUCUCUCAAGACAGGAAGAAAGAGAAAACAUGAUGAAAAUUUGUUGCCGGUUUUAGCAGGCAUGCUGGUGCUCACAUGCUUAUCCAUUGUGAUAUGGGUUUGCAGGUCCAAAGACACAGUGUACUAUGCUCAUGCAUAUGUGACAUAAACCAAUUCUGCAUUAUGCUGCUCAAUGCUCGCAAAUACUGCAAAAUUACUAGGCCUAGGAGAUUUGAGCACUUGUGAAGGUUUUGGGACACGAAGCCCCAUUGAAGGUGGUUUUGGCAACGUCCAAUGUCGCCGCUGUGGAGUUCACUGGAAGAAGAACAUCGGUCGAGCAUUCCAAUGUCGCCUCCGCCGAGUUCGCCACCGAGCCAUCCAAUGUCGCCUCUGCUGAGUUCACUGGAGGAAGAACAUCCGCCGUCUGAACGUGCUACACCAGAGGUAUGUAUCAGCUUUUCCCAAAUUAGUCCAACGUUGUGGUAUGUAUCAGCUUUUCCCAAAUUAGGCCAACGUUGUUGGAUAUUGCUUCAAUCAAAAACAAUCU